GAAGAUGAGAAGCUUGUCAACCAUAUCACUACCUAUGGCCAUGGAAGUUGGAGUUCUGUCCCAAAACUUGCUGGCUUGCAGAGGUGUGGUAAGAGCUGCAGAUUGCGAUGGAUAAACUACCUGAGGCCAGAUCUCAAAAGGGGUUCCUUCUCUGAACAAGAAGAGCAGAUUAUCAUUGAUGUUCAUAGAAUUUUAGGCAACAGGUGGGCGCAAAUAGCAAAACAUCUACCAGGGAGGACAGACAAUGAGGUAAAGAACUUUUGGAACUCAUGUAUAAAGAAAAAGCUCAUCUCACAAGGCUUGGACCCGAAAACUCACAACCUAAUCCCUUCUCAUCAGAGAGCCAAUAAUAAUAAGGUUGCUGCAGAGAACAUACUACAAUCCCACCAACCACCAUUUUCAAUUAUCACAUUGAAUUUACAGAUGACAGAU
rnacentral:misc_RNA from 1 species